UACGUAGGGGGGCAAGCGUUGUCCGGAUUUAUUGGGCGUAAAGAGCGUGUAGGCGCCAAACAGGUCAGCUGUGAAAACUCGAGGCUCAACCUCGAGACGUCGGUUGAAACCGUUUGGCUAGAGUCCGGAAGAGGAGAGUGGAAUUCCCGGUGUAGCGGUGAAAUGCGCAGAUAUCGGGAGAACACCCGGUGGCGAAGGCGGGUCUC
rnacentral:rRNA from 1 species